CACUUAGAUGUUCUGGGCCGCACGCGUGCUACACUGAGUGGAUCAGCGGGUCAGGUUGCGCGAAAGCGUUUCCUAAUCUUUAAAUCCGCUCGUGAUGGGGAUUGACGGUUGCAAUUUUCUGUCAUGAACGAGGAAUACCUUGUAAGCGCGGGUCAUCAUCCCGCGCUGAAUACGUCCCUGCCCUUUGUACACACCGCCCGUCGCUCCUACCGAUUGAGUGGUCCGGUGAGGCUUUGGGAUCUGAGCGGAAAGAGCGUUUCGCUGUUUCUGCUCGGAAAACUCAGUCGAACCUUAUCAUUUAGGGGAAGGAGAAGUCGUAACA
rnacentral:rRNA from 1 species